UACCACUGCCAUCAAAACUAUCAUAUUACUGUGCUACUAGUUUCCUUGCUACAGAUAAUUAAUCUCUAGGUGUGGAUGAAUUGGCAACUCAACUGCUAAUACCUUCAAAUAUUCUUUGGAUCCAGUUGUGUCGAAUCUAUAAAUAGGGUUGUAUACUCUACCCUCGAAAAAUAUGGCGAUCCCCUAUACUUGUGUGUUAUCAGUACCAGCAUCGCCUGGUGAUGUUGUCGUAGAGUUCUUCGGAGUCACCGAGUAGCGCAUCCAUGCUUGACUGGUUUCUCCUAUUGGAGUAGCCACCACUGCUCGGUCCUGGUGCACGACCAAGGAGAUCAUCAUCAAACUAAGAACCAUCACUACUGCCACAACUUUUGACAUUGUCCUUCACAAUAAUAUAGUGAACAAACUAUCAAGAACUAGACUGAUGUAACAAACUACUGUUUUAGUUGCUACGGUAACAAGAUGACACAUAUAUACUAAUUAGUUGGACCUAUUUAGGGAUAAUAUCAUUGUAUAUCUAAAUAUUUUAUUUUUUGACAUGGAAUAUCAAUACAUAUAAAAUUUAUUUAUACUGGCAAUCCAACACAAUUAGUAUUAAAAUUAUGACGUGGGAGCUGGCAUGCAAAAUCUACUAGGUUAUGCCCAUAUAGUAUACAUUGAACGCCACUUAAUUAUUACCUAUAUUUUAUUUCUAUUAUAUGGCUCAUAAUCAACUUGGUGGCCCCUUUUACUAAACUGAAUCCAAUUCAGACUAACUAGGUUGGAUUUGCUAAGUACUUCCAUAUAGUGUCUAAUAACAUAAAAGUAAGAAACUAAUCUUCCAGAGUACUAGAGAUUUGUUCCUUUCUAGCCCGCAUAAUAUUACUUUUAUUAAAAUACUACAUACAAAGACGCCCAUGCAUACGCACACACACUCACCCUACCCCUAUGAGCAUGUCCUAGAGACCGAGCUAGCACAUCAUCUUAGGUUGAUGAAGUCACCACAGAAGCCUUCGUAGCUGACGGGAAUGUCUCCUCCCACUGAUUGCACAUCAUCGAAAGGCCUAGAAUAAAUCCAGGAAAAUGCGAGCACCAGUUCAAGUUUAGGACUUGAACACUUGUGGGCUGGGGAUAUCAGUUUCCUCCUAACCAUCCAAACAUAGGUUAGUUCACUCCUGCAUAUUGUUUUUCAGACCAUAUACUUACAAGACUACUAGUACCAGUAGUUUGGAAAGGUAAGACAACACACACGAGUCCAUCUAGCUCGUCACCGCAAAAAUACACUACCAUGGAUCCUCUCUCGUCUCCCUACGAGAAGGUAAUCCAUGGUACUCACACUUAUCUUGAUAUUUUUUAGUAACCAUUGAAUUGAUCUAAGUACAUUAUAAGUCUCCAAAUAGUCCUUUGCCAUGGACGUGGCUAUUCAGUUAGAUUAUUUACUCUCUAGGGGUGUACUUCUUAACACAUGCGUUCACCACUCAUCACCAUGUACUUGCCAGACUUCAAGCGAAUGUCGUCAAGUGUGUUGGGCAUGACCAUUGACCACACAAGACUCUAGUCCAGGGACAUUGCCUAUUUGGCAUAAACCCACAAGCAAAUUCGUCUGAAGUUUUCCAAUAUGGCUACAAACAUUAUGUGCAGGGUUCCCAAGCACACCACGCCGGAUGGUACUUGACAACCCACAAUUAUAGGAGAUCAUUUUAAGACUUUUUUGAUAAGUAAGAGUGUCAAACCAAACAAGAAGCUAAAUGUAGAAUUUAUAUACUCUUCAACUCUACGUACACCAACGUUUGCUUCACCUAGAACAAGUAAUAAAACUUACUUGUGAGAGUAAAACUAUAAGUACUUUGUGGGAAUAAUAAUAAUAGUAGUUUUGUAGAAAUCUCUUUGGAUAAAGAUGAGGAAGUUUGUCCAUAGGCAAUUGGAUAUAAUAGGAUAAAUACUAAUCAUAUGCAAUGAUGGAGAGGCAUAUGCUAACACCCUUUCUAUACAUGGAUCAUAUGUUGUUAUAAUUGGAACUCUAGCAAGCAUCUGCAACUACUAAAGUUCACUAAGUUAAACCCAACCAUAGCAUUAAGUGAGAAGUCCCCUUUACUCCCAUAAGCAACACCCCCUUACUUGGGUUUAAGCUUUUGUGACCCUUGCAACCGACUAUAUGAGAAUCAUGGACGUAUUGCAACAACCUACAACAGGAAUUCCCACAUGUGUGUGCGGCACAGAGGGCACCACAGGAGAACACCAUAUUAAAAUAGAACUCAUAUCAAUCACACCAUACCACAUUAAUCUGCCACUGAUCCCUAAUAGCAGUUGUAGGAAGUCGGUGGUGAACGCCCUUGGGUGCCUCGCCUGCCAUUACUGGCCUUUUCCCACCCGCCACUACUAGACAUUCUUGUAGUAGUGGGAGGUGGAAAUAGGAUUCCCCUACCUCACCCCCUAAAGGACUAGAAGGAGGGCCCAACCUCUCCAUAAUUGUUAGUGGCUAUGCUCCCGGUAGAACGAUCUGCAUGAUCCAGGUGCACCAUCGGUCUUCAAACCCUUUGAGCUCCAUCACCAAACAGAAGAAGGACUGAUCCAGGCAAUUAUAGGCCUUCCAAAAGUCGAGCUUAAGGAAAACGCACUUACGAUUCACCUGCUAACCUAUUGGACAAUUUCAUGAAGAGCUAGGAUCCCAUCAAGGAUGCGGUGGCCCUUCAGGAAUGCAGACUGGAAAGUUGUGCGAGACGCUCCGCAAUAGGUGGCAGACGCGUCAUGCACAUCUUCGUGAAAAUUCGCUCAAGCACAUUAAUCACCGUGGGAUAUCCAUCACCCCAAUUAUUUUGCGGAUCAGGGUUACUACACCAAAGUUCGGGCAUGCCAUGUCAAGAGUCCCAAUGUAGAAUUCAAGUAACAUCUUCAUGAUCACAGGCUGAAGCUGAGGCCACAACUUCUGGAAGAAAGCCACCGAUAGGCCAUCCAACCUAGGUUGUAGAUCUCGCCCUCAUGGUCUUGAUAGCACCACCGACCUCCUCUGGUAGGAAUGGGAGUCGCAUGUCGACAUUCUCAAAGGCCCCUAUUACUCAUACAGGACGUUUAGCAAAGUCGAUCACUUGUGAGUCUGACGGAAGUGGCUUUCUACACGUCAUUUCAGUCGUGCGUGAGUAAAACAACUCAUCACUGCUAAUGUAUAUACCACAAAUGAACAUUCCAAGACCCACACCACAUGUGUCAGAAGAGUUACCACUAACGAAUAAUUAUCAAGGCUCGCCAGUGGUAAGAACUUACCACUAGUAAUUUUUCAAGUUAUUAGUGACGGCCAAUAUGUGUAUGUUUCCCAGAGACGGAGACUAUUUAAUUUUUGUAGUAGCUGAAGAACUUGGAGUUUAUUUUUCUAUAAUACAAUUAAGAAAAACACCGAGAGAAAAGUUGAAGUAGAGGAAAUGUAGUAUUGAAAAUCCUGGAAGAUGUUUUAUUCAUCAUAGCAUGCAUGGGAAAUAAUACAACUAUUUAGAACGCGGGCGGAGGAGUACAAUGUCUUGGAUCACGACUCGCACAGGAGGUACCAGCAUCGGCUGGUGAUGCUAUAGGAGAGUUCUUCGGAGUCACCGAGUAGCGCACCCAUGCUUGACUGGUUUCUCCUAUUGGAGUAGCUACCACUGCUCGGUCCUAGUGCAGGACCGAGGAGAUCAUCAUCAAACUAAGAACCAUCACUACUGCCACAACUUUUGACAUUGUCCUUCACAAUAAUAUAGUGAACAAACUAUCAAGAACUAGAUUGAUGUAACAGACUACUGUUUGUUGCUACGAUAACAAGAUGACACAUAUAUACUAAUCAAUUGGACCUAUUUAGGGAUAACAUCAAUGUAUAUCUAAAUAUUU
rnacentral:lncRNA from 1 species